rnacentral:rRNA from 1 species
UACAGAGGUCUCGAGCGUUGUUCGGAUUCAUUGGGCGUAAAGGGUGCGUAGGCGGGUCUUUAAGUCAGGGGUGAAAUCCUGGAGCUCAACUCCAGAACUGCCUUUGAUACUGAGGAUCUUGAGUACGGGAGAGGUGAGUGGAACUGCGAGUGUAGAGGUGAAAUUCGUAGAUAUUCGCAAGAACACCAGUGGCGAAGGCGGCUCACUGGCCCGUAACUGACGCUGAGGCACGAAAGCGUGGGGAGCAAACAGG